UGGAGUGUAUGUAGCUGAUAUUCCCAAAGGCAGGCUAGCACUGCCUUUGGGAGGCAGGGGCUGGAGGUUCGAAUCCUCUCACCCCGA
rnacentral:tRNA from 1 species